CCUACGGGAGGCAGCAGUAGGGAAUAUUGCUCAAUGGGGGAAACCCUGAAGCAGCAACGCCGCGUGGAGGAUGAAGGUUUUAGGAUUGUAAACUCCUUUUGUGAGAGAAGAUAAUGACGGUAUCUCACGAAUAAGCACCGGCUAACUCCGUGCCAGCAGCCGCGGUAAUACGGCGGGUGCAAGCGUUACCCGGAAUCACUGGGCGUAAAGAGUGCGCAGGCGGGUUUGUAAGUCAGAUGUGAAAUCCUGUGGCUUAACUACAGAACUGCAUUUGAAACUAGGAGUCUAGAGUGUGGGAGAGGUAGGUGGAAUUCUUGGUGUAGGGGUAAAAUGCGUAGAUAUCAAGAGGAAUACUGAUUGCGAAGGCGACCUACUGGAACAUUACUGACGCUCAUGCACGAAAGCGUGGGGAGCGAACAGGAUUAGAUACCCGAGUAGUC
rnacentral:rRNA from 1 species